rnacentral:misc_RNA from 1 species
GUCCAUCUGAUGCCCAUGCAACAUAGAAUAAUCAGUAAGAGAUUAGAAGAGAUUUAUUGAGAUCAGUUUAAAGUGCAAAAACGAAAUUAUUUCAGAAGGUUCUAGAAAAUAAAAGGAAAUGAGACUUGCCAUUCCUAGAGCAUCACAAUAUUUAAGUUGCUAGUUAUUUAGGUACUAACAUGUCAAACGCAGGAGCAUGUUUAUCAAAUAUUCUUUCUCCCAUAAACAGGAGCAUGUUUUCACUAAAUUGUGAAAGACGCAGAAAGUAAGUUGGAUUGUGAAUGCAACAGCCCGAUACGUGCAUAAAAAAGUAUGGUGUCAAUUGAACAGACUCAAAUCAAAGUCCUCUUAUCUAUUUGUUUUAAAUUAGACAGAAAGAUGAAUCCAAUGUUUUGCAAAAUGAUGUCUGUGAUCUGUUUAUCUAAAAAUUUACCUGUUUCUAAUAAGCUGCAAUACAAACAAUUUCAGAAGGGAAAAAACUAACCAGGGCCUACCAUUUUUGGAAUUUGUAUAUAGUGGAAUGUAAUUUAAUGCUUACAAGCUAAUCGCUAGGAGAUGUUCUCAUCAAAAACUGGUAUGGAAAAUGAAUUCACUGAGGACAGGUUAAUUAAUUUGAUCUGCUUACUUGAGAAUAUCUGUUCG